UACCCCGUGGUGUAAUCGGUAACACUACAGGUUUUGGUCCUGUCAUUUCUGGUUCGAGUCCAGACGGGGUAACCA
rnacentral:tRNA from 1 species